rnacentral:piRNA from 1 species
UUGGAAAGGAUACCUGGAACU